GCCAGACUCCUACGGGAGGCAGCAGUGAGGAAUAUUGGUCAAUGGGCUUACGCCUGAACCAGCCAAGUCGCGUGAGGGAAGACUGCCCUAUGGGUUGUAAACCUCUUUUGUCAGGGAGCAACGCCGGCUACGUGUAGCCGGACUGAGAGUACCUGAAGAAAAAGCAUCGGCUAACUCCGUGCCAGCAGCCGCGGUAAUACGUAGGGGGCAAGCGUUAUCCGGAUUUACUGGGUGUAAAGGGAGCGUAGACGGCACUGCAAGUCCGGAGUGAAAGCCCAAGGCUUAACCAUGGGACUGCUCUGGAAACUGUGGAGCUUGAGUGCGGGAGGGGCAGGCGGAAUUCCUGGUGUAGCGGUGAAAUGCGUAGAUAUUAGGAGGAACCCCGGCGGCGAAGGCGGCCUGCUGGACCGUAACUGACGUUGAGGCUCGAAAGCGUGGGGAGCAAACAGGA
rnacentral:rRNA from 1 species